UACGUAGGGGGCAAGCGUUGUCCGGAAUCAUUGGGCGUAAAGCGCGUGUAGGCGGCCCGAUAAGUCCGCUGUGAAAGUCCAGGGCUCAACCCUGGAAUGCCGGUGGAUACUGUCGGGCUCGAGUCCGGAAGAGGCGAGUGGAAUUCCUGGUGUAGCGGUGAAAUGCGCAGAUAUCAGGAGGAACACCGAUGGCGAAGGCAGCUCGCUGGGACGGUACUGACGCUGAGACGCGAAAGCGUGGGGGAGCAAACAGG
rnacentral:rRNA from 1 species